GCAUAUCCAUAGCGGAGGAAAAGAAACUAACAAGGAUUCCCCUAGUAACGGCGAGCGAAGCGGGAAGAGCUCAAAUUUGAAAGCUGGCACCUCCGGUGUCCGCGUUGUAAUCUCGAGACGUGUUUUCCGUGCGGCUCUAUGGACAAGUCCCUUGGAAUAGGGCAUCGUAGAGGGUGAGAAUCCCGUACUUGCCAUGGAAGAACCGUGCUUUGCGAUACACGCUCUAAGAGUCGAGUUGUUUGGGAUUGCAGCUCAAAAUGGGUGGUAGACUCCAUCUAAAGCUAAAUAUCGGGGAGAGACCGAUAGCGAACAAGUACCGUGAGGGAAAGAUGAAAAGCACUUUGGAAAGAGAGUUAAAAGUACGUGAAAUUGUCGAAAGGGAAGCACUUGAAGUCAGCCAUGCUGCUUGAGACUCAGCCUGGCCUUUGGGCUUGGUGUAUUUCUCGGUGGCAAGCCAGCAUUGGUUUGGGUCGUCGGAGAAGCGCAUAGGGAAUGUAGCGUCUCCGGACGUGUUAUAGCCUUAUGCAGGAUACGACGACCUGGAUCAAGGAACGCAGUGUGCCCUCUGGGCGGGUCUUCGGACACCUUCACACUUAGGAUGCUGGCGUAAUGGCUUUAAGUGGCCCGUCUUGAAACACGGACC
rnacentral:rRNA from 1 species